rnacentral:misc_RNA from 1 species
GAUGAAGAACGUAGCGAAAUGCGAUACUUGGUGUGAAUUGCAGAAUCCCGUGAACCAUCGAGUCUUUGAACGCAAGUUGCGCCCGAAGCCACUAGGCCGAGGGCACGCCUGCCUGGGCGUCACACGCCGUUGCCCCCCCAUCUACUCCUUAGGGAUUGCGGGGGGGCGGAUGAUGGCCUCCUGUGCGCCUAGCCGCGCGGUUGGCAUAAAUACCAAGUCCUCGGCGACGCACGCCACGACAAUCGGUGGUUGCGAAACCUCGGUUGCCCGUCGUGUGCGUUCGUCGCGCAUCGAGGGCUCGAAAAAAUGCUCGGCUCCGGCUGGGCUUUCAACGCGACCCCAGGUCAGGCGGGGUUACCCGCUGAAUUUAAGCAUAUCAAUAAGCGGAGGA